rnacentral:tRNA from 1 species
GAAAUAUCUUUAUUAAGCUUCUAACUUAAUUUUUAAGCAAUUUAAUUGUUUAUAUUUCU